ACCAUUAAUUACUUCAUACUUUCAUAACAAACCAUUUCAUUUUCCCGCUUCCUUUUGUUCUUCGCUUUCGCGCUCCUCCAAAGUUUGAAAUCUACUGUCUCUUCUCACCACCUCGAAGUUUGAUUAUUCUCUUCUCUAGAUCGUUAGUUUUUUUGGUGGUUCUAAUGAAGUCUCUCACUAGAGAUCUCCUGAAAUAUGAAGUUGGAGCUCCGUGAUGUUCAUUUGCAAGCAAACUCGUCUAAUGUUCUUGGUUAUGUGAGUUCUUAGGUCUCUUUGCACAGAUGGAGGUUGAUUUGCAACAAAAUUUACAAGGGGACCAAAGGAAUGACUACCAGGGCUUUGGAAGUGAUUAUCAGCCUUCUAGUCAAUCUAGAAAGAUGUCAGUAGGAGUUAUGGCUGAUUCAUUUGCUAAGAAAGUUGGAAUGAAGGAUCAGAUUAUUGUGCCAAAUACAGAGAUGUUGAAUACUGAGUCAGAACCAAAACAUAAAAAUGAAGGUCUCACAACUGCCAUAAAACGGAAACAAGAUGAGGCUCAUGGGCAAGUAUCCUCUCCAUGGAUCACUACCAGAUCCUUUUACCAAAAAGUUCCAACUUCGGGUACUGAUCUUUCCGUGAAGCAAACUUCCAGUUUACCUGGUGCUGGUGUGAAGCAGAAGAAGCCUAAUGGAGUAAAGCAUGCACCAUUCACAUAUUCAGUAAAACUUUUUGCAAAUGAGACCUCUGUGUUACAGUCUGUUGAUGCUAAGCAGGACAAAGUUAAUGGCAUAACCAACAAAAUGAAUGGAGAGAAGGGAAGAAUUCCAGAGAGGGUCGAGGAAUUCACAUUUGCAGCUACACAGGAAGUCCUUGUGCCGCAAAAGGCUGUGAAUGUGAUGAAGGAUAAUACAGACAAGGCAGAAAACAGAGGUACUGAGGCUUUGAGAAUGAAACUUUUGGAGAUUCUGGGUACUGUUUCUUCCCCAAAAAGUCAGUAUUGUAAUUAUCAGGACCAUAAGGUUGGAGCAAGUAACUUGGAUUCAGCUCAAGUUGUCAACCGAGAGGAUGCAAAAAAUCUCAAGCCUAGACAAAAUUCAGAUACAAUAGAAAUGGAUUCUGGAAGUCCUGUCCCUGCUGUUAACAGACCAGUAACCAGGUCUUUGCUCCACAAGAGAGCUGCAAAAAAAGUGCAGCCAAGCAAAUCUAAACUUGGUUCAUCUUCUAACUAUAAGGGGAGACAACAAGAGAAGAACAUUUUCUCUUUCCAAAAAGAAUAUCAGUGUAAACUUGAUAAUGCUGCCGGUACUAGGUCUAAGAGGAAGAGAAGUCAGAGAAAGGAUGCAUUUAAAAGAGGAACAGUUUGCUUUACUGGAGAGGAUGGUGCAGAUUGGAUUCACAAAGAAAAUUAUGGCUGGAAAACACCACGAAGUACCAAAAAAACAUCCUCAUUUAAGAAAACAGGAAAUCACAAUGUUACGCCUCCUGUGGAUAAUAGUGAUUUCCAGGAAGCACAAAAUACCAUCCAAGAAAGAGAAUUGAAUCAAUCAUCUGUUAGAAACAAGGAAAAUCAGCAAAGUGAUUUGGAUAGUCCCGCUUCAGCAGAAAAAGGGCACCAGGAAGAAAAUAUUGCUAAUACAUCUCUUAAGAAGUUUAUGGACUUGCAAAAUGAUUUAGAAAGUCCAACAUUUGGAAUUAAAGCUCCCAAAUCAAUCCCUUCACCCACCUCCAUGGCAGAAACCGUCCAAAUGGAGGAGAGUGAUCUCAGUCUUCCACCAGAAGAGAGAAGAUUUAGUUUGGAAAAUAUAUGUUCCAUCAGGACUUUCAAAACUUCAAAACAAUUUGAUUAUGAAUCAAGCCCACAAAUAGAAUUAUCUGAUGACUUAGAGAAGUUCCAAGAUUAUGCAGCAAAGGAACAGACUCCAGUCAAGUCAAGAAAGGGUGCAGAAGAUAACCUGUCUGAAUCAUCUUUAGGAGAGGGACUUCAGGUUCACUUGCAAAAGUUUCAAGAUUAUGCAGCAAAGAAACAGACUCCUGUCGAGUCAAAAAGAAAGUCCAGAUGAUGGCCUGUCUGAGUCAUCAUCAUCAUCAGGAGACUCCGACAGCUCUAAAGAAGGUCAGAGGGAAAGAGGGACCUUUUCAGGGAAUUGCUCCCCAGAGAAAUCAAAAUUCAUGCUUUCUCCAACUAAAACGGUCUCAGAUCUUAAAGGAAUUCGGAUUGAUGAACUUAGUCCCAACUUACCCUUUCCAGAAGGUGUGAUCUUGAUGAUCUUUCAGAGAGAACCUGACUAGCCUCAGUAACUCAAAGAGAAAACAUGUGGAAACAAGAUUGCAAGAAACAUCACAUAAGAAGCUUAUCUCCCAAUUGGAAGAA